UUGCUCACUACAGCAGCACAUAUACUAAAAUUGGAACUUUAUAGAGAAGAUAGGCAUGGCCCCUGCACAAAAGUGACAUGUAAAUUGAUGAAGCAUUCCAUAGUUUU
ensembl:snRNA LOC120099405 U6 spliceosomal RNA